rnacentral:lncRNA from 1 species
AAUAAAUUGAAUAUCACAUUGACUGUUGUUGAGCACCAUAAAUUACAUAAUCAGAUUGUAAGAAUCAACACAUGAUUGUCAUGCAAACCUUGAUCUCCUUCCCUAUAAAUAUCAGUACACACUCUACAAUUAGCAGUAAUACAACUAGUUAUAGAGCAAGAAACAUAAUCUACGACAACCAAAUCUCCAUAUAUACUAGCUAGAAUAAAAAUGACAAUAAAAUAUUAAAAAAUAGAAAUAAAGUAUAAGUAGCGAAAAAGACUUCUAGUACCAUGUGAUACCAAUAUGGUAUAUAUGUAUACCAACAACGCAUAUGAUUUCUCUAAAAUAUUGCUACAACUAUCUGCGACUAUACUACUCUACCAAACCAUUAAGGAACACAAUAAAAGUAUGAGAAAAUUACAUGCUCGUAUUGCAAACUAAAUAUUCGCAAAACAACUUUCUCAUUUCAUAUAUUAAGAGGCUAUAUAGUUGAAUGGGGUCGUUCCAACAAUUGCCUAUAAAUAUAAAAACUAUUAAUACACUUAAUUUUUGUCCAUCGUUAUGGGGUCGUUCCAACAAUUGCCUAUAACUAUAAAAACUAUUAAUACACUUAAUUUAUUCCAUCAGCACACAAAAAUUCUAGCAUUAUUGCAACUCAUGUUGAUAUAAAUAAUUUCAUAAUAGAAUUCAGUUAAAAUGCAGCUAAAACAACCAAAAUAAUGUUCAAACUACCAUAUGAUACCAAUAUGGCAUAUAAAUAUACCAACAUAGUAUACAGUUUUACUAGUUAAUUCCUGACAACUAUAUGACUAUACUACUAUUACAUAACACACAUGCAUAAAGAGAAAAAUAAGAAAUAGUGUACCACAUAUUAAUAUAAUAAGGUAUUUCAAGAUAUUGUACUAUAUUACUAUUAUUAAAAGAAAAUUAAAUAUUGUACCAAUUAAACGUAGCUAAUACAACUGAAAAAUGAUUCAACUAGCAUAUGAUAUAGUAUAUAGAUAUACUAAUAGGGUAUGUAGUUAUAUUAAAAUUAUUUAAAAAAAAUCAAAUAUUGUACCAAUUAAAUGCAGCUAAUACAACUAAAAAAUGAUUCAAAUAGCAUAUGAUACCAAUAUAGUAUAAAGCUAUACUAGUUGGAAUAAAUUGUAUACCAAAAUGGUAUAUUUGUAUACUUAGUAUAUAAUACAAAUUCGUCAUCUUCUCUUGUUCAACUAUAUUUCAACCCAAAUUUCUAAAAUCUACUACAAGUUAAAAUCUCCAUAUCAAAUUGACUAAAGCUUUAGCUACAACCUCCAAUCAACUUUCCAAACAAACACAUACAUGAUCGGAUCAAAACAAUUAAAAACUCAAAAAAAUCAAGUUAUGAGUUUCAAGUUUCAAGAUGAUGGAUUUAAUUUUCUCACAAUAAAAUCUUUGAAAAUUAGCAUUACAUCAUAAUCAAAGAACAAUACCCAAUAAAUUUCAACAACAAGCACUUCAAAACACAUAUGAAAAUUCAAAUUUAAGUUAUAUAGUAUAUAUUAUUUCUUAUUUUACUUUUAAAAGAUAAAAUAAACUAUGGAGCACAAAUAAAAAAAAGGGUAAUGAUAGCAUAAAAAGGUACAAUACUAACACACUGUCGAGCUAACUAUUCUUUGGCUUCUUUUUAGGAUUUUCACUUUUGCUGCUUACAUUAAAUAUGUCUACCGCAAGCAAGAAUUGGGUUAGGCAGGUAAUUAGUUAUAAUAGAAUAUGAAUUAAUGUAAUUACUUUUAAAAUGGGCAAUUACAGGUAAUUACUUUUGAUUAGGUAGGUAUGUAGGGUAGUUUUCCCCUAUAUGUUACAUUCUCCAAGUGGAACAAAACGUCACUAAUAUACAAAAACAUAACAAUAGAAAUCAUUGAGAAACAAAGUUGUUGGCUGUUCCCCUCAGUUGGAUGUUGGAGAUGAGAAAUUUGAGACUCUGUUGGUGACUUUGGUCCCAAAAGUUUAAUGCUGUGUCCAUACACUGAUGCUUCUUCUUUCGUAGCAUUCAACAAUGACCUUAACUAUAUACAUUGAUAAUGUAAAUUUUCAACAUUAUCUGCUCGCUUGAAAUGUAAUUGCAGGUAACUCUACAUAAAACAAUUGAACUACUAACCUAAACAAUAACACAAGCUGCAACCUUAUGCACUAGGUUAAAUUGCAAUGGAGUGUAAAUAUUUAAUUGUAUUAUCAGUAAAUAAAAGCUAAAGUCCUACAGUUUCAUCGUAUACAAGACUGCAAGUUUGCCUUUUUGAAAAAGUUGGGUUUUCAUGCGCAUAAUUUGUUAAUCUAAUUUAAUAAUGUUGUCCGUCAAAAUAACCUAUUUGAUCAAUUUAGCACAGAGGGAAUGUAAUACAAAAAACUUGGUAAAUGCACUUGUAAUUAGCGGAAAGGAGAAAACACAUGAAAUGAUGAAGUUGACUGAUCUUAACAUUUUCAAAUAAGGAAACUGAGUUGUUGUAAAGAAAAAGGGACAAUCUUAUCGACACUUUACAUAAGAAUAAUUUAUUAAUUUGGUUUAAGGUAUAUUGAAAUAAAAUAUAAAAAUUGCGGUUUAUGGAACACAGAAAAAGAUAUGUAAAAAUGGUAGCCAUUUUGGUAAUGAGAAAAUUAGUGGUUGAUGCCAUAGACCACACAAAAAUGUAUGAGGAAACAAGACAAUUAAUCUGACGGUGCGUUAUGUUUCCGCUAUAUACAAAAGCUUACGUGGGUGUUCUUGUAUAUAUAAGAGUUUAAGAAAAGAGUUGGACCACAUUUUUGGGGAAAAAAGGUUUUGUUUAUGUAAAUUGAAAACAUAUAGUGAAAAAUCUAUAUUUUAGGCGUAAGUGCGUGUAUACAAACAAUUAAUACUAACCAACAUUCUUUCGGGACCAAAGUCACCAACAACGUAUCAUCUUCUGCUUCUUCUUCAAUUUCCCCUUAGCAUAUCGAGUGGGGCAAAUUCGACUACUUUUAUAGAUUAGUUCUACCAUGUCACAACCGUACAAUUUUUUACAACAAUACUAGCAAGUACACUGAUUGUACUACAAGUAGUAAAAUCUUGUCCAUUUUAUUAAAGUACCAAGUUUUUCU